rnacentral:rRNA from 1 species
GCGAUACUUGGUGUGAAUUGCAGAAUCCCGUGAACCAUCGAGUCUUUGAACGCAAGUUGCGCCUGAAGCCAUUAGGUUGAGGGCACGCCUGCCUGGGUGUCACACAUCGUUGCUCCAAUGCCAAUGUCUCCUUUUGGGGUUAUUGGGGAGUGUAUGUUGGCUUCCCAUGAGCUUCGUCUCAUGGUUGGUUGAAAAUCAAGUCUGUGGUGGGAGUGCACCGCGAUUAUUUGGUGGUUGAGUAAAAGCUCGAAACCAAUCGUGCGUGGCUCUUGCAAGGUUUCAGACUUUGUGACCCAUAUGCAUCCUUGAUGCUCAUAACGAGACCUCAGGUCAGGCGGGGCUACCCGCUGAGUUUAAGCAUAUCAAUAAGCGGAGGAAAAGAAACUAACAAGGAUUCCCUUAGUAACGGCGAGCGAACCGGGAAUAGCCCACCAUGAAAAUCGGUUGCCUU